AUGGACUAUGAAACCAUGCCAGAAAAAACUUACAAACCUGCAGUCUUGAUUGCCGGUUAUGACACGGAUCCCGAUGGUGUUAAGUAUUGGCGCUUCAAAAACUCAUGGGGAGAGGGUUGGGGCGAGGGUGGGUUUGGGAGGACCCGCAGAUAUGUUGCCGACAAGAGAGGUGUCUUGGGUAACGCGCGAGCCGAGCGGGACGUUGAGGAGAGCACUCGUUGCGUCUCAGACGACGCCCCCUUGAAACCCUAUAGCGGACGCAACAUUUCGGCUCUCAAGUGCAUCUGCACCCGAGGUGAAUAG
rnacentral:rRNA from 1 species